UUCAUGGCUUGUCCAAAAUAACUUUUUGCUACCCAAUCCAUGCUUAAAAAAUGCCGUUUACAUAAUUCUUCCAAGUUAGGUACCCAUAUAUGACACCUUGUGCAUAAUUUGCCCUUAAACCUACCAAACCCGACUCAAAAACAAAGGACACGCAAAAACUCCUCGAUAACUAACUCUUUCGUGGCUCGUCCAACAUAACUUUUUAUAACCCAAUCCAUGCUUAAAAAUGCCGUUCACAUAAUUUUUCCAAAUUAGGUACCCAUAUAUUACAUCUUGUACAGAAUUUGACCUAAAACCGACCAAACGGGACUCGAAAAAAAAGGACACACAAAAACUCCUUGAUAACUACCUCUUUGGUGGCUCGUCCAACAUAACUUUUUGCUACCCAAUCCAUCCUUAAAAAAUGUCGACCAAACGCGACUCGAAAACACAUGACAUGCAAAAACUCCUUGAUAACUACUUCUUUCCUGGCUCGUCCAAAAUAACUUUUUUCUACCCAAUCCAUGCUUAAAAAAUGUUGUUCACAGAAUGUUUCCAAGUUAGGUACCAAUAUCUGACAUCUUGUAUAGAAUUUUCCCUAAAACCGACCAAACGCGACUCAAAAACAAAGGACACGCAAAAACUCUUCGAUAACUACCUCUUUAGUGGCUCGCCCAACAUAAUUUUUUGCUACCCAAUGCAUGCUUAAAAAUGUCGUUCACAAAAUUUUUCCAAGUUAGGUACCCAUAUAUAAGACAUCUUGUAUAGAAUUUUCCCUUGAACCGACCAAACGAGAUUCGAAAACAAAGGACACGCAAUAACUCCUCCAUAACUACCUCUUUCAUGGCUUGUCCAAAAUAACUUUUUGCUACCCAAUCCAUGCUUAAAAAACGCCAUCACAGAAAUUUUCCAAGUUAGGUAACCAUAUAAGACAUCUUGUACAGAAUUUUCCCUAAAACCGACCAAACGCGAGUCCAAAA